UCCGGUUGAUCCUGCCAGAGGCCACUGCUAUCAGAGUUCGAUUAAGCCAUGCGAGUCGAGAGGUGCAAGACCUCGGCAUACUGCUCAGUAACACGUGGACAACCUACCCUACAGAAGGGGAUAACCCCGGGAAACUGGGGAUAAUACCCUAUAGACUAUGGAAGCUGGAAUGCUCUGUAGCCGAAAGGUCCGCCGCUGUAGGAUGGGUCUGCGGCCGAUUAGGUUGUUGUUGGGGUAACGGCCCAACAAGCCUGUAAUCGGUACGGGUUGUGGGAGCAAGAGCCCGGAGAUGGAUUCUGAGACACGAAUCCAGGCCCUACGGGGCGCAGCAGGCGCGAAAACUUUGCAAUGCGGGAAACCGUGACAAGGGAACUCUGAGUGCCCGUAAAAUCGGGCUGUCCAUCAGUUUAAAUAACUGGUGAAGAAAGGGCCGGGCAAGACCGGUGCCAGCCGCCGCGGUAAUACCGGCGGCUCGAGUGGUGGCCACUAUUACUGGGCUUAAAGCGUUCGUAGCUGGUUUGUUAAGUCUCUGGGGAAAUCUUCCGGCUUAACCGGAAGGCGUCUCAGGGAUACUGGCAGACUAGGGACCGGAAGAGGUGAGAGGUACUCCAGGGGUAGGAGUGAAAUCCUGUAAUCCUUGGGGGACCACCCGUGGCGAAGGCGUCUCACCAGAACGGCUCCGACAGUGAGGGACGAAAGCUGGGGGAGCAAACCGGAUUAGAUACCCGGGUAGUCCCAGCUGUAAACGAUGCGCGUUAGGUGUAUCGGUGACCACGAGUCACCAAGGUGCCGAAGAGAAAUCGUGAAACGCGCCGCCUGGGAAGUACGGUCGCAAGGCUGAAACUUAAAGGAAUUGGCGGGGGAGCA
rnacentral:rRNA from 1 species